GUUCGGUCUCCAACGUUCACAGAGUUUUCGGUCUUAUGAGUGAUGAUAUAAUUGGUGAAUGACUUUUAUGUUAAGUAAUGAAGAUUGUGUUUUCAAGUAAUGUGGAAGGGAAUUCCAAUGAGGAAUGUCUCAUGGAUGGUUAUUGAAUUGUAAAGUAUGAAUGUGGGUAUCGUGCUAAGCUGGCGUCUAUCUUGAUAUUCUAUAAUUACCCAU
rnacentral:lncRNA from 1 species